GACGAACGCUGGCGGCGUGCUUAACACAUGCAAGUCGAACGGUGAAGCGCCUUCCUUUUUGGUGGGUGUGGAUGAGCGGCGAACGGGUGAGUAACACGUGAGUAACCUGCCCCCUUCUUCUGGAUAACCGCAUGAAAGUGUGGCUAAUACGGGAUAUUCUGGGUCUGUCGCAUGAUGGGUCUGGGAAAGAUAUUGUUUCGGUGGGGGAUGGGCUCGCGGCCUAUCAGCUUGUUGGUGGGGUGAUGGCCUACCAAGGCGGUGACGGGUAGCCGGCCUGAGAGGGUGGACGGUCACACUGGGACUGAGACCCGGCCCAGACUCCUACGGGAGGCAGCAGUGGGGAAUAUUGCACAAUGGGCGCAAGCCUGAUGCAGCGACGCCGCGUGAGGGAUGGAGGCCUGCGGGUUGUGAACCUCUUUCGCCAGUGAAGCAGGCCUGCCUCGUUUGUGGGUGGGUUGACGGUAGCUGGAUAAGAAGCGCCGGCUAACUACGUG
rnacentral:rRNA from 1 species